GCCUGCCUGGAGCGCAGAACGCGGCGCGAGGAGCGCGGGCGCGCCCUCCGGUGGCCGUCCUCGGAGCUGCAGGCGCGCCGGGCCCCGCCACUGCCAGAUCCCGGAUCCAAGUGCGCAACCUGCGGGCUGCGCGCGCCGCACCCGGUGGGGUUUAUGAGCCCCCGUUAAUGUCAGCGCAAUAAUAGCCCCGGGGAGGCCAUUACACCACUAUUUCCAUCCAGAGGAGGGCUGUUCCAUCAACUGCUGCAGAAGCCUGCUCGGUGAGAAAACAGGCUGCCCAGACGUAUGGCCGGCCAGCAGUCAUGCAUCCAUCUCUCAGUAGCUGACAAGGGACUCGAGAUCAGAAACCUGCCGAUGGAGUCAGAAUUCAGCACCGUGCUCCUCAUAGCCUGCGAGGUGUCUGAGCCGUGAUACAGACGCUGAGGCCGGUGGAGAAGUUAACUGCAUGAUGACCAGACUGUAGCCAGGAGAGACGCUGCCACAACUCUGAGAAUUGGCCUCAAGAAACAGGAACAAACUGAUCCUAGAACUGAAGAUAAACUGUACCUAAAACCAUCCCGAUGACGCUGAUCAGACUGCUGAUGACCAACUUCAAGAUGACUGUCAGAGCUGACUGUGCUGUUUCUGCAAGUAACCCCCUCCCACCAUCUGUAAGAGCUCUUGCCUACUGUCAGCGAGGGCGAGUCAGCCAGUGGACAGGAAUCCACCCUCUCUGCCCCAGGUGCCGGCACCCAAAAUAAAGCAAACUUUUCUUUCCACCAGUCCAGCUCCUUAUUGGCUUUUGAGUGGCGAGCAGCCGGACCCACUCUCCAUUACACUGGGGCCUCCCUCCACAAAGGGCUUGGCCCUUGGUGAACGCUCAGUCUCUAUGGCCAGUUCUUGUGCCCCAACCUCAGAAGGUCGAGCUGAGCAGAGGCAGGCCGGGGACGCUAGGUCUAGCCACCGGGCCAGCAGCCCUACUCGGUUGGCCCGCUCUUGUUUUCAACCCAGCAUUUUACAGACUUUUCAAUUUCCCCCUCUGAUUCUGGCUUCAGGCUGCCUUGCUGGUGUAUGAAUAAUAAAUUACAAUGUAUUGCACAGGUCUAGCUCUUUGCUAUAGUUUACUAAACACUUUUACCUACACUAUGCCACUUAAUUCUCACGACUGCUGCGAGGUGAGGAAGCCACGGGUCUCAGGAGGCGGGGGCCGGGCACAAGCUCAGAAUUCACGCCUUGGCGGUCCCGCCCCUCCCUGCCGGCCAGGAUGGCCAGGGCCCUGGCCCACCGGCGCACAGGUAGCCUUCUGUCCUGCUGACCCUGACCAGGUGUGGCGCGCCAGACACAGAGCUGUCUGCUGGACACGCGAGCAACGUUAGAAAGGCACCAGGUACUACCAGUCCAUCUGUUGUCUUCA